rnacentral:lncRNA from 1 species
UACGUUAAAGCAACGAAGUUACUUAUUUCUGCUAAUUUUAUUGUUAAUAGAUUAACGGAGGACAUCGCAGUAUUUGCCAGUUCAGUAGCGCAUUUAUAUAGUAGUGUGACCAAGCCUUGCUUCGAUUUGAUGCUUAUUGGUAUUGCUUUAAUGCGGUCCACACAAAAAAUGAAAGCCAACAUUUUUUCAGGCCCAACACUAGCUGUUGCCGUGAUAUCCUUAACAGCGCAUAUAAUGCGAGUGGUUUCCCCAAAAUUCGGUCAGCUCGUUGCGGAGGAAGCCAAUCGCUAUGGCUAUUUACGGCAUAUACAUUCUCGAAUUAUUACGAAUUCUGAAGAAAUUGCAUUUUACGGAGGUCACAAGGUAAGUUCUUAAAUAAUUUAAUUUUUUUAAGAUUGCAUUUUUUCUGGGCUGUGAAAAUAUCAGAAGCUGCAGAUAAAAGCUGUGUUUAGAUACUGGUGGAUAGUUCUGCGUAUACGCAUGCAGAUGAAGUUUUUGAUCGCCUUUCAACUCACGACUUCCGGUCUUUACACUAAGUAUCCUCUGGCUAGCAACCGAACAUCCUUUCGGAAGCGAGCUAAUUCUAUAACAUGCAAUUUUUGCGACUGCUCGCAACACUGCGCCACCGAUUUCUAUCGUUUACCUCAGUUGACGAAAUUUGCAUCAAAGCGAGAUUCUUCUACAUCUCGCUCAUUUGCACCCACGCUCUACGGAGCGCACAUAGCACAUACAAACGCGGUUCCCGUCACGAUAUUAAAAUACUGUUCAGCGAUUUCAACUCCAGGGUGGGCAAAGAAGAAAUAUUUGGCCCCACCGUCAGAAAAUGCAGCCUCUACGACGAAACUUUCGAUAAAGGACUGAGGCUGAUCAAAUUCGCCGGGCUCGAAACAUGGUAAUAUACAGUACUAUGUUCCGGCAUAAAAGCAUCGUAUAGCUGCGUGGAUGUUCCCAUAUGACGUACGUAAACGCCGAGGGCCAAACAUCGACUCAAACCACUGUCUUUUUGCAGCCAAGAUAAGCACACGCCUUUGUGCAGAAAAAGAUGUGUGUACAGCGGCACAAGGAAAGCCCAAGAUUGAAAAGUUGUAAUCAAAACAGACAGCCAGCGUCUUCGCCACUCGACUCUAACUUGCUAGCCAGAAUGGUGAGGCUGUGGUAUGUAGUAAGAGCUGUCAAAAGUAAAAAUAUUCUAAAUGCUCCAAACUGCCCACAAUAUGUAGCUGUGGUUGUGGUGUUUUAUUGCUGAUGUAGCUAGCGAAAUAGCUUGUAGCUAGCGAAAUACUUGUGGCGAGAAGUGGAACCACAUUUCCCGCUUUUUGCGUACCGCCGAAUGAAAAGAAAACAUGCCGCCCACAAGGCUACGCUGCGAUCGGGCGCAACGCGAGCUUUUUGCCGAAAUACGCGAGAUUCAAGAACUUGAAAUACUGAGCGGCAGCCAAAACGUUAAAAAAUUGUAUCUGAAAGUUGGGCAACUUCGGGAAGGUUUAAAGACCAGAGAAUUUCUCUAAGAACAAACAUGAUGACCUACUGACCGAUAUACAUAGCGUGCUUAAAUUGUGGAGGGAACACUUUUCCACCCUAUUGAAUGGUAGCAUUCCCACCGCCGGACAUU